GGGUAACGGCCCACCAAGGCGACGAUCAGUAGCCGGACUGAGAGGUUGAACGGCCACAUUGGGACUGAGACACGGCCCAGACUCCUACGGGAGGCAGCAGUGGGGAAUAUUGCGCAAUGGGGGCAACCCUGACGCAGCAACGCCGCGUGAUUGAUGAAGGUCUUCGGAUUGUAAAAAUCUUUAAUCAGGGACGAAGGACGUGACGGUACCUGGAGAAAAGCCACGGCUAACUAC
rnacentral:rRNA from 1 species